UCGAACGGUAGCAGGUAAGUACUUGUACUUAUGCUGACGAGUGGCGGACGGGUGAGUAAUGCUUGGGGAUCUGGCUUAUGGAGGGGGAUAACGACGGGAAACUGUCGCUAAUACCGCGUAGAAUCGAGAGAUGAAAGUGUGGGACCUUCGGGCCACAUGCCAUAGGAUGAACCCAAGUGGGAUUAGGUAGUUGGUAGGGUAAUGGCCUACCAAGCCGACGAUCCCUAGCUGGUCUGAGAGGAUGACCAGCCACACCGGGACUGAGACACGGCCCGGACUCCUACGGGAGGCAGCAGUGGGGAAUAUUGCGCAAUGGGGGCAACCCUGACGCAGCCAUGCCGCGUGAAUGAAGAAGGCCUUCGGGUUGUAAAGUUCUUUCGGUGACGAGGAAGGUUGUUGUGUUAACAGCGCAACAAAUUGACGUUAAUCACAGAAGAAGCACCGGCUAACUCCGUGCCAGCAGCCGCGGUAAUACGGAGGGUGCGAGCGUUAAUCGGAAUAACUGGGCGUAAAGGGCACGCAGGCGGACUUUUAAGUGAGGUGUGAAAUCCCCGGGCUUAACCUGGGAAUUGCAUUUCAGACUGGGGGUCUAGAGUACUUUAGGGAGGGGUAGAAUUCCACGUGUAGCGGUGAAAUGCGUAGAGAUGUGGAGGAAUACCGAAGGCGAAGGCAGCCCCUUGGGAAUGUACUGACGCUCAUGUGCGAAAGCGUGGGGAGCAAACAGGAUU
rnacentral:rRNA from 1 species